GACACAAAGGGCGUAAUAACGUCCUCCUGGAGAGGGCCAUUUCCGAGCGAAGUAAAAGGAGGCGCUCGGGAUCACCACGGCCUCUCAAUGGUCUACGGCGCGAUCAUAAACGCUCCGCGCCGCCAUUGCAUAUUGAUGGCCGCCUUUGGCUUAACCAUCGCGCGCUGGAAAAAAAUUGCCGCCCGGAAUGGCUUUUUGAUGGGGCGAUUGCUCGUUUCCGUCUAUAGGUAUAAACGCGCCGUGGGAGUUAUAAAAUGUGCAUCAAGUCGCGCGAACGAGUCUCCUUCUUCGAAGCGGCCCGUGCCCUACUAGUCGCUGACGUCCGCGGUCGCAGCGGCAGACCGACGCUGGCUGCGCGUGGGAGAAGGCCGCGACGUCGGGCGACCGCACGGAAUUCUUAUUUUUUCUGGCACGACCCGCGACGGCUGCUUCGACGUGUUCGGAGGAUACGUUCGGAUUCGGGGUGUCGCAGCUGGACUGUCGAGUGGACGCUGUAGGCUCAGGUUGAAGACCUCAGCGCCGGCGCUAUGUCAGAUUUCUCCUGCCGCACUUGUCACCAGGACCGGAUUGUCACCAGUGCGAAGCUCGGGCCUUCGAGAAGGCGGCCAUCUGGCGCCUUAUGGUUGUCGGCUUCAUCGGGUCGCGCUUGAGUGACGGGUGUACAGGAUGUCAUGAGGGCAGGUGACAGCUACGGAACUCGAAGAACACGAACUCUUUAUUAGGUGAUCUUGUGUACGAAAAAGAAAGAAAGAAAAAAAGAAAAAAAAGAGAAAGAAAGAAGGAAAGGAAGAAAGAAAGAAAGAAACCGUACAAUUUGGCAACGACAGUAACAAUAUAUACUGAGAGCACUGUCGUCUGUCUUAGAGGCGAAUGGCGCUGCUUGCAACGUGCCUUUUAUAUUAUGUUUAGGGUGUCAUCGUAGGCUGUAGACCAACCUACAGUAACCGGGACCAUCUCGAAAUGUGCCAGCUGCAUCGCAUGCAUCCGAUAACGACGUUCUUGUUUUUUAUUCAAUGAGCAAGUGGAAAAAUAGCGCAACGAAGGGCCGGCUAUCCCAAUGAUAAAAAAAAACUGCAGAUUUUAAGGAAUAUAUGAGAAAAGAAAGAAAGAAAAGAAAACGAAAAAAGAAACAUAUAGAAAUG